AUGAGCCACAUUCGACAAAUUGUGAUCUUAUGUGCUCGCUCAAGUGCGAUCCACCUUCAGGAAGACACUGAUGACGACAUCAUUUGGAAGCAUACGGCUAGUGGCCACUACUCCGCCACCUCCGCUUACAAAGCUCAAUUCCAUGGAACCACUCGGUCACCCAUGACCUAUGCGGUCUGGAAGCCUUGGGCUCCUCCCAAGGUCAAUUUUUUUACCUGACUUGUUAUUCAGAACCGGAUUUGGACUGUGGACAGACUCGAGAGGCUUGGUUGGCCAAAUUGUGGGUUAUGUCCCCUCUGCAGACAAACCAAAGAAUCAGUGAGCCAUCUAUUCUUCAAGUGUCGGUUCACCUUGAGGCUUUGGGGCAUGAUCGAGGCUUGGCUAAACCUCAUGCACAUUGACACUUCUCACUGGAUUGAUGAACAUUCCACCAAGGAUUGGUGAAUCAAUAUGUCCGAGAAGAAUACAAGCAACCAGAAGGUGAUGGCGUCCCUGACCAUGCUAACUUGUUGGACGAUUUGGUGUGAACGGAAUGCUAGAGUUUUUAGGCACAAGUCCAUGCUCCCGUCCAUUAUCCUCUCCAACAUCAAGAGCAAGGCUACACUUUGGGUCACAUCAUGCCGUGAGAGUAGUGGCUUUAUAAUAAUCUUAUUGCCUUUGUUUGUAAAAGCAACUCUUAACUUCUUCUUAAUUAAUGUAUGA
rnacentral:rRNA from 1 species